AUGGCCUGAACUAGACUGAGAGGAUUUUCCAAAGAGAUUUGAACUCUUCAGACUUUUUAACAUGCCCCUGUGAACAGUUGUUGAGACAGAGUUUCACUCUUGUUGCCCAGGCUGGAGUGAAAUGGUGCGAUCUCGGUUCACCGCAACCUCCACAUCCCAGGUUCAAGUGAUUCUCCUGCCUCAGCCUCCUGAGUAGCUAGGAUUACAGGCAUGUGCCACCAUGUAAUUAGCCCGGCUAAUUUUGUAUUUUUAGUAGAGACGGGAUUUCUCCAUGUUGAUCAGGCUGGUCAUGAACUCCUGACCUCAGGUGAUCUGCCUGCCUCAGCCUCCCAAAGUGCUGCUGGGAUUACAGGCGUGAGCCACCACUCCCGGCUAAGUUAGUAUUUCUUUAAUCUUAAUGCUUUAAACUAAGCCACUUGGAUCCUGAAUAAUUUAAAUCUUGAGCUACAUUGGUAAGUAAUAAAUUAUUUAAGGCCAGGAAUUCCUGUAGUUUUCAUGGAGUCUGUAGCUUUAUUAAAAAAUAAAUCACUGCCAGGCUUCAUUCUUCCAUAUGAUCCUCUAAAAAUGGACACUUCCUCUGAAUGCUGUAUCUCAUGGCACCUGGUCCAACUAGAAAUGGUCAAGGAAUUCAUUUGGCUCCUUGAUACAUCAGUCCUCAAUAUUACUUUCUAGGUAUUUUAUGGCCAGAUUGCUUAUAUGAGUGGUC
rnacentral:lncRNA from 10 species